rnacentral:sRNA from 1 species
AAAAAAAGAAAAGAAAAAAAAAAGAAGAAAAUUAAGUUUGAAGCCUGAAAUUAACCUCUUGGUGAGAAUGGAAAUGGAAUGAAAUUUCACUCCUUUCCAGAUGAAGCUUCUAAAGAGGAGACCUGGCAGCCUAGCGAGCAUCCAGCUUGCUCACGCACCUCUUUCUAGUCCUGUGGCCAUCAGUGAGCUUCUCCAGGUCCCUCUUGCCACUUCUCAGAUGUUCCCUUCUGUCCUAGGAGAUUUGUAAAACCAGACACUUGGGAUAUGAUUCUCUAGUGGAGAGUUAGGCCUUUAGGUCUCUAAAAAUUGCCAUUCAUGACCUUCGGGCCUAGGGUUUAGAGAUGAAUGUGCAGUGUGGGUGGCCGCUCUGUGUGUCCUGCUUCUACCAGCUUGGCAUUAAGCACCCGGAGCAUCACCUGCUGGGCAGGCGUGGCCAGGGGUGAGCCCCUCCAUUCGGGGGCUCAGGGUCAAGGCGGAUUCCUUGCUUGGCUUUCCUGCUGAUUUCCUCAUGAAGAUGCCAAUUCGUAUUUAAACAUCUGUUAUCAAUGGUGGUGGUUGUGUGCUGAUUUCUAUAGGUAGAGGCUGUUGUUUUAGGAGCCAGGUUUGCUGGGCCAGCUCAGACCUCUUACAAAGUGAAGAUACUAAUGAUCGUCUUGCAGAGUGCCAUAGUGUCGUGAGGGUGAACUGAGGCAGUGGCUAUGCAUGGUGUCUGCAGCAGCGUUUCUGAGGCUCCAAGAAUAUCAGUUCCUUUUUCAGAAAUGGGGCCAGAUUCUUGGGAUGUAGACAGCGUUCUCUUCACGGAUGCUAACAACUUAUCAAAGCUAUAAUAUAUUAAGUAUCUCUGUUAUAAUAGGAUAGACGCAUUCCUAAAAAAAUGUGUUAAGCAAAAAUCAGAAAAUAAAAAUAACAAGGCCUUGAGGAAAAACACAGUUGGGGCGAACAUUUAAACCUAUACCCCAGUAAUAAUCCUCACAAUGAUACUGACAAAGUUGAAAAGAUAUGUUAAAUUCCUAAUAAUAAAUAUCCCAGUAAAUAUAGGAUUACACACACACACACACACACACACACACACACUUCUGCCUGUGAGAAGGUAGUGAAUAGGAGGAGUAAUGCACGGCCAAUUCCAAGGCUGCUAAAUAUGGAGACAAGGAUAAAAAAGCACAAAGAUAGGAAGAACUACCUGACAGGGGUUCUGAGGCAGCAUUUGUCCAGCUGAGCCAAGAGGAAGACUGGGGUGAAUGGACACGCAUACCGUAUUCCUCCAAGGUUGUGUUUUUGGUUUUGGUUUUGGUUUUUUGUUUGUUUGUUUGUUUGUUUUUUGAGACAGAGUCUCACUCUGUUGCCCAGCCUGGAGUGCAGUGGCACGAUCUCAGCUUACUGCAAGCUCUGCCUCCCGGGUUCACACCAUUCUCCUGCCUCAGCCUCCCGAGUAGCCGGGACUACAGGUGCCCGCCACCAUGUGCCCGGCUAAUUUUUUUUGUAUUUUUAGUAGAGACGAGUUUCACUGUAUUAGCCAGGAUGGUCAUGUUUUUGUUCUUGUUUUUGUUUUAGAGACAGGGUCUCCCUCUGUCACCCAGGCUGGAGUGCAGUGGCACAAUCACGGCUCACUACAGCGUCAGCCUUCCAGGUUGAGGAUCACUCGAUACUCAUGCCUCAGCCUCCCAUGUAGCUGGGGCCACAGGUGCACACCACCACGCCUGACUCAUUUUUUAAAAAAUUUUUUGUAUAGGUGGGGUCUCACCAUGUUGCCCAGGCUAGCCUCGAACUCCUGGGCUCAAGCAAUCCUCUCACCUUGGCCUCCCAAAGUGCUGAGAUUAUAGGUGUGACCCGCCAUGCCCGCCUUUCCUCUGAGUUUUGUUGCAUUCGGGCAGCUCCUGGCUGAGGCAAAACAUUAAAAUGCAUAUGGAAAUGCAGGCUGGGAAAAUGCUUUGAAACCAAUGCAAUUUCUAUGUUAAGGGGACGUUCCCUGAUUCUUUCAGGUAAUUUGCAUUCUAGACUGUAACAUUCUGUACCUCAACUGAUAAAUAAGCCUGUUUGUCAUCCUGCUAGAUGAGAACCUGAUAUAUGAAACCUUUUUUUUUAAUCGUGGUUAAAAAAAACAUAAAAUUUACCAUCAUAAUUAUUUUUAAAUGUACCAUUUGGCAGCAUUAAGUAUAUUUAAACUCUUGUGAAACAAAUUUCUAGAAUGUUUUCAUCUUGCAAAACCGAAACUCUGUACCCAUUAAACAACUCCCCUUUUCUCCCUCUCUUCAACCCUGGUAACCACCAUUCCUUCCUGUUUUUAUGAAUUUGACUACUUUAGAUACCUCAUAUAAGUCAGGUCAUACAGUAUUUGUCUCUUUGUGACUGGCUUCACUUAGCAUAAUGUCCUCAAAGUUUAACUAUGUUGUAGCAUGUAUCAGAAUUUUAUGAAACAUGAAGUCUUAAACACCCCAAAGUACAUUUUCACCCCAAAUGUAUUUGAACAGUGUUACGCUGGGGGUGGGAGGUGGGAGUCCUUCUUGCUUUGCCUGUGCAAUGAAAUGAAUACCCUGCUGUGUUUAUCUCCUUGUCAUGUGAUUCUCCCAGGUUGUUUCUUCAAGUUUCUGAGCCAAACUUAACUCUAAAAAGCAAAUAUUCUGUGUUAAAAGACAGUAAUCAACACGGGAGCUACAUCAGACAUCAUAGGACAAAUUGUCAUCUAGAAGAGUAUAUUUUUAAUGCAGGAGAGUUUUUAAAACCCAGAUUGGUGUGAUUUCAUUCCAGAGAGCUCAGAAAUAUGCUCAGCAAGUCUUGCAGAAGGAAUGUCGUCCCAAGUUUGCCAAGACAUCAAUGGCACUGUUAUUUGAGCACAGGUAUAGCGUGGACUUACUCCCUUUUGUGCGGAAGGCCCCCAAAGACAGUGAAGCUGAGUCCAAGUACGAUCCUCCUUUUGGGUUCCGGAAGUUCUCCAGUAAAGUCCAGAACCUCUUGGAGCUCUUGCCAGAGCACGACCUCCCUGAACACUUGAAAGCCAAGACCUGUCGGCGCUGUGUGGUUAUUGGAAGCGGAGGAAUACUGCACGGAUUAGAACUGGGCCACACCCUGAACCAGUUCGAUGUUGUGAUAAGAGUGUUGAUUUCAACUGGCUUCAAGCAAUGGUAAAAAAUGAAACCCUGCCGUUCUGGGUACGACUCUUCUUUUGGAAGCAGGUGGCAGAAAAAAUCCCACUGCAGCCAAAACAUUUCAGGAUUUUGAAUCCAGUUAUCAUCAAAGAGACUGCCUUUGACAUCCUUCAGUACUCAGAGCCUCAGUCAAGGUUCUGGGGCCGAGAUAAGAACGUCCCCACAAUCGGUGUCAUUGCCGUUGUCUUAGCCACACACCUGUGCGAUGAAGUCAGUUUGGCAGGUUUUGGAUAUGACCUCAAUCAACCCAGAACACCUUUGCACUACUUCGACAAUCAGUGCAUGGCUGCUAUGAACUUUCAGACCAUGCAUAAUGUGACAACGGAAACCAAGUUCCUCUUAAAGCUGGUCAAAGAGGGAGUGGUGAAAGACCUCAGCGGAGGCAUUCAUUGUGAAUUUUGAACACAGAAAACCUCAGUUGAAAAUGCAACUCUAACUCUGAGGGCUGUUUUUGACAGCCUUCUUGAUGUAUUUCUCCAUCCUGCAAAUACUUUGAAGUGCAGCUGAUGUUUUUAACUUUUAAUUUAAAAACACAAAAAAAAUUUUAGCUCUUCCCACUUUUUUUUCCUAUUUAUUUGAGGUCAGUGUUUGUUUUUGCACACCAUUUUGUAAAUGAAACUUAAGAAUUGGAAAGACUUCUCAAAGAGAAUUGUAUGUAAUGAUGUUGUAUUGAUUUUUAAGAAAGUAAUUUAAUUUGUAAAACUUCUGUUCGUUUACACUGCACAUUGAAUACAGAUAACUAAUUGGAAGGAGAGGGGAGGUCACUCUUUUGAUGGUGGCCCUGAGCCUCAUUCUGGUUCCCUGCUGGGCUGCUUGGUGUGACCCACGGAGGAUCCACUCCCAGGAUGACGUGCUCCAUAGCUAUGCUGCUGAAACGGUCUGCAACGCAGCGGCGUGAGGCCUGGGCUGGUCGGAGAAGGUCACAGCCCUUCUCUGUUGGUCUGCCUUCUGUCGAAAGACUCGAGAACCAACCAGGGAAGCUGUCCUGGAGGUCCCUGGUCGGGGAGGGACAUAGAAUCUGUGUCCUCUGACAACUGUGAAACCACCCUGGGCUGCAGAAACCACAGUCUUCCCAGCAAUUAUUACAAUUCUUGAAUUCCUUGGGGAUUUUUUACUGCUCUUUCAAAGCACUUAAGUGUUAGAUCUAACAUGUUCCAGUGUCUGUCUGAGGUGACUUAAAAAAUCAGAACAAAACUAUUAUCCAGAGUCAUGGGAGAGUACACCCUUUCCAGGAAUAAUGUUUUGGGAAAUACUGAAAUGAAAUCUUCCCAGUAUUAUAAAUUGUGUAUUUAAAAAAAAGAAACUUUUCUGAAUGCCUACCUGGCGGUGUAUACCAGGC